rnacentral:rRNA from 1 species
GAUGAACGCUGGCGGCGUGCCUAAUACAUGCAAGUCGAGCGAACAGACGAGGAGCUUGCUCCUCUGACGUUAGCGCCGGACGGGUGAGUAACACGUGGAUAACCUACCUAUAAGACUGGGAUAACUUCGGGAAACCGGAGCUAAUACCGGAUAAUAUAUUGAACUGCAUGGUUCAAUAGUGAAAGACGGUUUUGCUGUCACUUAUAGAUGGAUCCGCGCCGCAUUAGCUAGUUGGUAAGGUAACGGCUUACCAAGGCGACGAUGCGUAGCCGGCCUGAGAGGAUGGUCAGCCACACUGGGAGUGAGACACGGCACAGACUCCUACGGGAGGCAGCAGUGGGGAAUAGUGGACAAUGGGGGAAAUGCUGAUCCAGCAAUGCCGCGUGAGUGAUGAAGGCAUUAGGGUUGUAAAGCUCUUUUACCCGGGAUGAUAAUGACAGUACCGGGAGAAUAAGCUCCGGCUAACUACGUG